UUGUGUUGUGACUUAGUGGCAGAUACAAAAGAAGAAACACAUUUUUUUAGCAAUAAAACUCUUCUGUAAAUGAAAACUUCAUGGUAGCAAGAUUAUGUCACCGCUAUUUACAAGUUUCUCUGAGACGUCUCAACGUGCACAGGUGUGCUAAUACCUGGAACAAAAGUACAAAAGAUCUUGCACGUUUUGCACAAACAUUUCCUUAUCAUCGAUUACCUUUUGCAGUAUGCAGAGUUAUCGGGAACAAUAACGCUUGUAAAUUUGUAAUCGCUACAGAAUGCUCUAUAAGCUGUAUAAACUACAUGUAUGUAGAAAGAACUAUGUAUAAAGCUU